rnacentral:rRNA from 1 species
AUUGAACGCUGGCGGCAUGCCUUACACAUGCAAGUCGAACGGCAGCACGGGGCAACCUGGUGGCGAGUGGCGAACGGGUGAGUAAUGCAUCGGAACGUACCUUUCAGUGGGGGAUAACGUAGCGAAAGUUACGCUAAUACCGCAUAUUCUGUGAGCAGGAAAGCAGGGGAUCGCAAGACCUUGCGCUGAGUGAGCGGCCGAUGUCAGAUUAGCUAGUUGGUGAGGUAAAGGCUCACCAAGGCGACGAUUUGUUGCGGGUCUGAGAGGAUGAUCCGCCACACUGGAACUGAGACACGGUCCAGACUCCUACGGGGGGCAGCAGUGGGGAAUUUUGGACAAUGGGGGCAACCCUGAUCCAGCCAUGCCGCGUGAGUGAAGAAGGCCUUCGGGUUGUAAAGCUCUUUCGGCCGGGAAGAAAUCGCACGGGCUAAUACCCUGUGUGGAUGACGGUACCGGAAUAAGAAGCACCGGCUAACUACGUGCCAGCAGCCGCCGUAAGAC